rnacentral:lncRNA from 1 species
GCGCUAUGGCCUGAGAGGAAGAGAUACGAGAACGUACCUUGUUCAAAUGCAAAUGGGUGAGAAAACUGUGGAGUUGUUUAAAUCUGUCUCAUAUUGUUGUCGAUUUGGGGUUGCUUCUUUUAGGGAGGUGUAUUGGAGAGUGGUGGUGUAAAUUGUAAAUUUAAAGACCUUUGGGAACAGUUUGGAGGAAGGAAAGGAAAGAAUCUUGUUUGGCCCAUAGAUUAUGGGAAGGGAAACGAAUACCCUUAAUCCCUCUUAUUCCUUCUCUCUCUUCCUUUAUUAUCCCACUUUUCUCACUUAAUCAUUUCAUUUUCC